rnacentral:misc_RNA from 2 species
AGCAGCCGCGGUAAUUCCAGCUCCAAUAGCGUAUAUUAAAGUUGUUGCAGUUAAAAAGCUCGUAGUUGAACUUCGGGGUUUACUCAUUGGUCAGGCUUAAUUGUCUGUACUGGUGAGAUGAAUCUCUACCUUCUGAGGAACUUUCAUGCCAUUUAUUUGGUGUGAUUGGAAAUCAGGACUGUUACUUUGAAAAAAUUAGAGUGUUUAAAGCAGGCUAACGUCUGAAUACAUUAGCAUGGAAUAAUGAAAUAGGACGGAUUGAUUCUAUUUCGUUGGUUUCUAGGGUCACCGUAAUGAUUAAUAGGGAUAGUUGGGGGCAUUAGUAUUCAAUUGUCAGAGGUGAAAUUCUUGGAUUUAUUGAAGACUAACUACUGCGAAAGCAUUUGCCAAGGAUGUUUUCAUUAAUCAAGAACGAAAGUUAGGGGAUCGAAGACGAUCAGAUACCGCCGUAGUCUUAACCGUAAACUAUGCCGACUAGGGAUCGGACGAAGUUAAUUAAUAAUGACGCGUUCGGCACCUU